ensembl:lncRNA UCA1 urothelial cancer associated 1
GCUGACUCUCUUUUCAGACUCAGCCCACUUGCACCCAAGUGAAUUAACAGCCUUGUUGCUCACACAAAGCCUGUUUAGGUGGUCUUCUAUACGGACAUGCUUGACACUUGGUGCCAAAAUCUGGGCCAGGGGGACUCCUUCGUGAGACCGGCCCCCUGUCCUGGCCCUCAUUCCGUGAAGAGAUCCACCUGCGACCUCGGGUCCUCAGACCAGCCCAAGGAACAUCUCACCAAUUUCAAAUCGGAUCUCCUCGGCUUAGUGGCUGAAGACUGAUGCUGCCCGAUCGCCUCAGAAGCCCCUUGGACCAUCACAGAUGCCGAGCUUCGGGUAACUCUUACGGUGGAGGUUUCUCAGGCUCUUGGUAUUCAGUGGAAACUUCAUACCCCCUACCGUCCUCAAUCUUCAGGAAAGGUAGAACGGAUGAAUGGUCUUUUAAAAACACACCUCACCAAGCUCAGCCUCCAACUUAAAAAGGACUGGACAGUACUUUUACCACUUGCCCUCCUCAGAAUUAGGGCCUGUCCUUGAGAAGCCACAGGGUACAACCCAUUUCAAUUUUAUAUGGAUGCACCUUCUUACUCAGCCACAAUCUUGUUCCAGACACCAGCCCCCUGGGCAACUAUCUUCCAGUCCUCUAGCAGGCUAGACAGGAAAUUUGCCAAGCUGCUAAUCUUCUCUUGCCUACUCCAGAUUCCCAGCCAUAUGAAGACACCCUAGCUGGACGAUCAGUCCUUGUCAAAAGUCUGACCCCUCAAACUCUACAGCCUCAAUGGACCAGACCCUACCCGGUCAUUUAUAGCACACCAACUGCCGUCCAUCUGCAGGACCCUCUCCAUUGGGUUCACCAUUCCAGAAUAAAGCCAU